AACGAACGCUGGCGGCAGGCCUAACACAUGCAAGUCGAGCGCCCUUUCGGGGGAGCGGCGGACGGGUGAGUAACGCGUGGGAAUAUGCCCUUCUCUACGGAAUAGCCUCGUGAAACUGAGAGUAAUACCGUAUACGCCCUGUGGGGGAAAGAUUUAUCGGGGAAGGAUUAGCCCGCGUUGGAUUAGGUAGUUGGUGGGGUAAUGGCCUACCAAGCCGACGAUCCAUAGCUGGUUUGAGAGGAUGAUCAGCCACACUGGGACUGAGACACGGCCCAGACUCCUACGGGAGGCGGCAGUGGGGAAUCUUAGACAAUGGGGGCAACGCUGAUCUAGCCAUGCCGCGUGAGUGAUGAAGGCCUUAGGGUUGUAAAGCUCUUUCAGCUGGGAAGAUAAUGACGGUACCAGCAGAAGAAGCCCCGGCUAACUCCGUG
rnacentral:rRNA from 1 species